rnacentral:tRNA from 1 species
GCCGGGGUGGCGGAAUUGGUAGACGCAAGGGACUUAAAAUCCCUCGGGGGGUAACCCCCGUGCCGGUUCGAUUCCGGCCCUCGGCA